GGUACUGCUUAGGUGGAACGAGAUCCUCUACCAUCACGCCCACUGAUGGCUCUCUGCAGUCACGCGCAUCCGGUCCAUCCGCUCGCAUCCUAUGGUGACCAGCGCAUACCAGCUCCUUUCCUUCACGUAUUGGGCUUCGGCUCAACACAACACGGCCCAAACUCCACGGAGCCAUCGGCUGCUAGUAUUUUUGGCGCGAGUACUCCUAUUUUUGGCGCGACGGCGCCUCUUUCUGGUGCAAGCGCGACGGCGCCGGAUGCAACGGCGAGUCUUGAGGGCGGCGGUCGCCUGCAGCGAUCUCGUUUGCCAUCGUGGAAGCACCAGAUUCUGUGUUCCUACAACAAAAAGAAAUCUGCAUAUAUGAGAUGGAAGCAAAUAGGGAGGGUUUGCUGUCUGGUUUGCUGCCGCAAGUUGGCAUGGAGUUCAAUACUGUAGAAGAGGCUUGGAUGUUUGAACUAGCUAUGGAGGUCAAAAAAGAUUUGAGGUUAGAAAAAGGUUCUCAAAUAAAAGAAAGUCCGAGGGAAGGUUAGGUCCUGCAGAUAUGUUUGUGCAAAUGAAAGGAAGAUAAAAGGAAUCAUCUAACAGAGUGUCCAAGAGCUGAAACUAUAAAAGGGAUCAUCUAACAGUUGACACUGAUGCUUUGCUAGAGAGCAAUACAACAUUCUGUGCUUUUCAGUGACAACUUGCAAUGUAUACAAUUUGCAGGAACAUUUGUGCAUUCCAGUGAUAAUUUUCAAGCCAUACAUUUUGCAGAA